AUACCAGCACCCCGAGUGGUCGGGACGAUUAUUGGGCCUAAAGCAUCCGUAGCCGGUCCUACAAGUCUUCCGUUAAAUCCACCUGCUCAACAGAUGGGCUGCGGAAGAUACUACAGGGCUAGGAGGCGGGAGAGGCAAGCGGUACUCAGUGGGUAGGGGUAAAAUCCUCUGAUCCAUUGAAGACCACCAGUGGCGAAGGCGGCUUGCCAGAACGCGCUCGACGGUGAGGGAUGAAAGCUGGGGGAGCAAACCGGAUUAGAUACCCGGGUAGUCCCAGCUGUAAACGAUGCAGACUCGGUGAUGGGUUGGCCUUGUGCCAACCCAGUGCCGCAGGGAAGCCGUUAAGUCUGCCGCCUGGGGAGUACGGUCGCAAGACUGAAACUUAAAUGAAUUGGCGGGG
rnacentral:rRNA from 1 species